UAUGUAAAUGACAGUUGCUAGAUAAAGUCAGCUAGAAUGAAGACAAUUAUAUAUAUUAUUUGUGUUUACGCUGUUUAGUCAGCUGACAGCAGGGUGUGAGGGAAAGAGAAUAAGCACAACACCACCUUGCACACUCUCACCGACACACACACACACAAAUCCAUGAAAAUUAUGUAAAGAGUAGACCACCUUGCAUCAAAGUUAAAUACCAGUUGAAUGAGUGAGUAAGAAGGAGGAAAGCCAUUGGAAUAAUGUCUACAGAUUCAAGACCACUGAUCGUCUUAUGUAUUGUCAUCAUUACCAUUGUCUUCAAGGCAAGUGAAGCCACUGAAACUCAUUCACAGGACCUAAAAAUAGACCCAUUUCCUCAUCCUCAAGAACAAGGGAAAUCUUUAAAAUACGAAUGCAGCCUCCCACACAAAGGAAACAUUACCUGGCUUUUACCAAAUGGUACCAAGGUCGAUGAAUAUGACAGCAAUCAUAUUGAGCAAAUCUCAAACACAUUAUUCAUAAGAAAUGCUACUGUUCAGGAUUCUGGUUCCUACACAUGCAUGCAGGUGGAAACUAAGAUGAAUACCACGGUUAAUGUGGUCAUUUACAUCAAAUAUGACUAUUUUAAAGAAGGUUUAAUCAUUGUCGGUAUAAAUUGUUCUUUAUUGCUUAUAAUUUUUACUUGUUAUAUUGUUAGAUUUAUCAGGUCCUAUAGAAGGAAAUAUCAACAAGCACCCACGGAUUUAAAUGAAAAUAUUUGAAUGCCCUGAGACAAAUAGAAAGACAUGGAGGGGGAAAAACACUAAUUACUAAAUUGUUAGGACAAUGGCAUUCAUAGAAAGAAAAAAAAAAAACAAUAUUUGAAAGUUACAGAAAAUAAAUUCUCAAAAGAGGAUUUGUUGAUAUUAAGAAGGUUAAUGUAAAUACAGGAUUUAUCUUCAUUUUCA